UGUGUCAAAUGAUGAAAUCAUGAAUAUUUUCUUAGGACACCUUCCUACACUUCCCAUUUAUGGGUUGUGGAUGAGAAUAACAUGUUCAUGCUGAUGAUAAU